UGUUAUGUAUUUUUUCUGUAAAGAAAAGUAAAAAGUAUUUUGAGAAUAAAAUAGCUUUCUCAGAAAAGGAAUAGUUCAUGAAUUUUAUAAAAGCAUUAAUAAAGUUCAUGAAUUUUAUUUUUUAAAUAUCAGAAUUAUCUUCUGUUAAGUUAUGAGGCAGAUGAAAUUUUGUUUCACGUUUUCCGCUGCUAUAAGCAAUAUGGAAUAUGAUCAUGUUGUUAUUCUGACCGACGUUGAUUAAUCACACGGUCAUAUUGCAUAUUGCAAAAU
rnacentral:lncRNA from 1 species